UGUCAAGCCCCGGACAAUGUGAUAUUGCCCAACCCCGUCAGGUUCGGAAGAAAGCAGCGGUAAGUGAUUUUCAUAUGUGAUUCGGGUGUCUUGACAUUU
rnacentral:SRP_RNA from 1 species